rnacentral:rRNA from 1 species
AUUGAACGCUGGCGGCGUGCUUAACACAUGCAAGUCGAACGAGAACGGAAUAUAGCUUGCUAUAUUUGUCAGCUAAGUGGCGCACGGGUGAGUAAUGUAUAGAUAACCUGCCCUUAAGAAAGGAAUAACAGUUGGAAACGACUGCUAAUGCCCUAUAUGCCUUUAAUACAUAAGUAUGCAAGGGAAACGCUUUAGUGCUUAAGGAUGGGUCUGUAUGGUAUCAGCUUGUUGGUGAGGUAAUGGCUCACCAAGGCUAUGACGCCUAACUGGUUUCGGAGGAUGAUCAGUCACACUGGAGCUGAGACACGGUCCAGACUCCUACGGGAGGCAGCAGUGGGGAAUAUUGCACAAUGGACGAAAGUCUGAUGCAGCAACGCCGCGUGGAGGAUGACACAUUUCGGUGCGUAAACUCCUUUUAUAUAGGAAGAUAAUGACGGUACUAUAUGAAUAAGCACCGGCUAACUCCGUGCCAGCCGCCGCGGUAA